GGCUUGCACAUAGUCCUGUUCCUCUGCCAGCCGCUGACCCGGGUCAAACAUGGGCAUGGACAUGGCCUGGCUGAUACUCAGUUGGAGUGGAGGCAGAUCAUUAGUACACACCACCACCGCCUGACGCCCUCACCAUCGGACUGUGUCGUCCCCACAACCAUCGCCGUCCUCAUUCACGAACGGCCCGCUCCGACCUCCAGCUCAGCGGCAAAGGAAGUAUGGACUACAGGAACGUGAGGAAUAUAAAAGGAGAAACCCUUCCUGCAUCUUAUCUCAAUGAAAUUCUCUUUUGCAAAGUAAAUAAUAAAGGAGAAAUACAAAAAGGAAAAA